GUAUGCUUUUAAUUCGAGGUGAAGAGAUUAGUAGAUUUUAUUUGUAUUUGAAUUUUUAGGAUUCUGGUCAACAGAUAAACACACAAUCCAGAUAUUUACUAGGUGUGUUGUGUAUGGUAAUAAACAGAUGUACUAAAGAGAAAUGAAUCUCUUACUUGCUUUCUGGAAAAUAGAAAAUGCAAUAAAAAACAAAAUUAAGUAAGACAAAACUGUAACACCACAACUGUUUACAUACAAUCCCCAAAGGUCU